UACGUAGGGUGCGAGCGUUGUCCGGAAUUACUGGGCGUAAAGAGCUCGUAGGUGGUUUGUCGCGUUGUUCGUGAAAACCGGGGGCUUAACCCUCGGCGUGCGGGCGAUACGGGCAGACUGGAGUACUGCAGGGGAGACUGGAAUUCCUGGUGUAGCGGUGAAAUGCGCAGAUAUCAGGAGGAACACCGGUGGCGAAGGCGGGUCUCUGGGCAGUAACUGACGCUGAGGAGCGAAAGCGUGGGGAGCGAACAGG
rnacentral:rRNA from 1 species